rnacentral:rRNA from 1 species
AUUGAACGCUGGCGGCAGGCCUAACACAUGCAAGUCGAGCGGAUGAGGGGAGCUUGCUCCCUGAUUUAGCGGCGGACGGGUGAGUAAUGCCUAGGAAUCUGCCUGGUAGUGGGGGAUAACGUUCCGAAAGGAACGCUAAUACCGCAUACGUCCUACGGGAGAAAGCAGGGGACCUUCGGGCCUUGCGCUAUCAGAUGAGUCUAGGUCGGAUUGGCUAGUUGGUGAGGUAAUGGCUCACCAAGGCGACGAUCCGUAACUGGUCUGAGAGGAUGAUCAGUCACACUGGAACGUAGACACGGUCCAGACUCCUACGGGAGGCAGCAGUGGGGAAUAUUGGACAAUGGGCGAAAGCCUGAUCCAGCCAUGCCGCGUGUGUGAAGAAGGUCUUCGGAUUGUAAAGCACUUUAAGUUGGGAGGAAGGGCUGCUGGUUAAUACCCUGCAGUUUUGACGUUACCAACAGAAUAAGCACCGGCUAACUUCGUG